rnacentral:rRNA from 1 species
GACGAACGCUGGCGGCGUGCCUAAUACAUGCAAGUCGAGCGAAUUUACGAGAGCUUGCUCUCGUAAAUUAGCGGCGGACGGGUGAGUAACACGUGGGCAACCUGCCUAUAAGACUGGGAUAACUUCGGGAAACCGGAGCUAAUACCGGAUAAUUCACAUCUACUCAUGUAGAUGUGCUGAAAGACGGUUUACGCUGUCGCUUAUAGAUGGGCCCGCGGCGCAUUAGCUAGUUGGUGAGGUAACGGCUCACCAAGGCCACGAUGCGUAGCCGACCUGAGAGGGUGAUCGGCCACACUGGGACUGAGACACGGCCCAGACUCCUACGGGAGGCAGCAGUAGGGAAUCUUCCGCAAUGGACGAAAGUCUGACGGAGCAACGCCGCGUGAGGGAUGACGG